UACGAAGGGGGCUAGCGUUGUUCGGAAUCACUGGGCGUAAAGCGCACGCAGGCGGAUUGAUAAGUCAGGGGUGAAAUCCCGGGGCUCAACCUCGGAAUUGCCUUUGAUACUGUCUAUCUUGAGUUCGGGAGAGGUUGGCGGAAUUCCUAGUGUAGCGGUGAAAUGCGCAGAUAUCAGGAGGAACACCGGUGGCGAAGGCGGAUCUCUGGGCCAUAACUGACGCUGAGGAGCGAAAGCAUGGGGAGCGAACAGG
rnacentral:rRNA from 1 species